rnacentral:rRNA from 1 species
CCUACGGGUGGCAGCAGUGAGGAAUAUUGGUCAAUGGGCUUACGCCUGAACCAGCCAAGUCGCGUGAGGGAUGACUGCCCUACGGGUUGUAAACUUCUUUUGUCAGGGAGCAAUUCCGUCCACGUGUAGCCUGACCGAGAGUACCUGAAGAAAAAGCAUCGGCUAACUCCGUGCCAGCAGCCGCGGUAAUACGGAGGAUGCGAGCGUUAUCCGGAUUUAUUGGGUUUAAAGGGUGCGUAGGCGGAAUAUCAAGUCAGCGGUAAAAAUUCGGGGCUCAACCCCGUCGUGCCGUUGAAACUGAUGUUCUUGAGUGGGCGAGAAGUAUGCGGAAUGCGUGGUGUAGCGGUGAAAUGCAUAGAUAUCACGCAGAACUCCGAUUGCGAAGGCAGCAUACCGGCGCCCAACUGACGCUGAAGCACGAAAGCGUGGGUAUCGAACAGGAUUAGAUACCCUUGUAGUC